AGAGGUAUAUAAACGAAGAAGUCAGUCUUUCUUCUUUCAUUUGUUUACAACUUCAAAAGAAGUCAGCCAGAGAUUUCCGUGACUGGGCCGCCGAUUUCCUUUCCACCGUCGACGAUCAGUUCGGUAUCCCUCUCUCCGCCGCCUUUUUCUUCCCAAGCGAUUUCGACUCCGCCAACGUCUCCUCCUCAUCCUCCACCGGCGGUAAUGCUAAUAACCCGCUUCGUCUCUCCGUCGCUUACCACAUCGUACCUCAACGUCUCUCGUUCAGUGAUCUCCGUCUCUUGAAACCACUCUCUCGUCUCCUCACUCUUCAUCGUAAGUCAACGAACUUGAUUCAGUACUUGUAGGUUCUACUUUGGUCAUUGCCCUUGUGAGAAAACAAAACAAAAAACAAGUUGGAACACUCAAACCAUGAUGCAAAUCUACCAAGUCCUUCUCCUUGUGAUCUUUCUCCUUGUGAUCUUUGCGGUUGUGGCCCUUGCGGUUAUGGUCCGUGCGGUUGUGGUCCUUGCG